CCCCAAAGAACCUAAUACAUAUUGAUAAUAGUGACCAUAACCCUGACCACAACACGGACCACAGUGUGACCAUAGAGAGAAGGAAAGACCUGCAGGACCAGCUGAGACAGGAGGUGGACGAACACAUCCAAGAGGGGAGAGUAAGUGUGGAGAGGAUGCAGGAGAGAGUGGGUACGAUCCAGCAGCUAAAGGAAGCCCUGAGAGAGGAGAAACAGGAGAGCAGUGAGAAAUCUGACCACUUAGAACAGGACUGGUACCAGGCGGAGUACAACAGAGCACAGGAGCGGAGGAGGAAGAUCAAAGAGGAUCAUGGGAGAGUGAUACAGGAGGAGGUGGAGAAGAUGGAAAGAGAGCUGGGGCAG